AUUUUAUUGGAAAAAUUUAUCGAAAAUUAUGUUUAUAUUCGAUUCAAUAAUUCGGUAUACAUUGAAAACUUCGUUUCACUUUGUGCAAGAUGAUAAAUUUUUGUGUAUUCGACGUGAAUUCAAUUGAUAUAAAUAUAUAUGCAUAUGUUUUUGUGCAAGAAACUUCGAAUUUAUUUUAGGUUAAAUUAAGUAACGUGCAUGGAAUCGUUUCGAAACUAUCAAUUGUUCACAGAAAUGGGAACUGUUAGGAGAAACUUUCAAGAUUGUUCGGUCCCCGAGCGGCUCGAACGAAAAGACUAACUACGCAAUUAGAGAAUUAUUAUACGUAGCGGCUGCGAACUGUGUACGAUUUACUCAUAGCCUGGAUGAAGCAUGGAUGACAUUUAUCACACGAAGUUUUCUAUUUGCGGGUAGAGAAGGAUGGAGGAACGCACAAAAUGUACAAAUUUAUGUAUUGCUGGUAUUUAUCGGAUAUAUUGAAGAAAAAGUUUUUCUAAAGAAUUUUAUUUUAACUUUUAUAUAAGUGACGAAUUUUUUUUUUUUAUAAGAAAUGCAUUAAUCAUAGUAAUAAAAUUAAUAAUAAUAAUAAUAAUAGCAACAGAUUGUUAAUAAUAAUGACAGUUAAUUAGCAUUAUGUUUUAGUUACUGAAGAUUGAAACAGGGACACAACAUUAUAAGUACUUAUUACUAUACAUACUGGAAAGUUCAGGGAAUUUCAACUGCAGUAACACAUAAGUACACAUACCUGUAACAUUCUCAUAUACCGCUACUGCUAAUUCCAGUUUAAAUUUUCAGAGUGACUUUGAGAAAUCUCACACUUGAUUCCGUACAACUUAAAUUAGAAACAGAAUAUAACUUUUAAAAUAAAUAAUUAUUAUACCAUAUUCCUCUUUAAAUAAUAAGAAAGCGAUGAAGAUUUAAAAGGUUAUGUACAUAAGAAAAGAUUAUGUACAUAAGGAAGCUACGUGUUACUAAGUUCUAAGUAAUAAAGGUUAGAUAUUUGUAGGAAAAGGACAGCUAAGAGAAUUGUGUUACGGUGUGCGAAGUCCCUCUAGUGGCAAGUAUAGUAGGUCAGCCGCAAGUUAUUUCAUUAUGUUUAAGGGGAAGCUACUUAUAAGUAGAUUAAGUAUUAUGUUAGGUAUAUGUGCAUUUAUGAGAAAUUUAUAUAUGUAUAAAAUGUGCGUAUAAUAAUGCAAAAAUAUACCGAAAGUAAAGUGCUGUGAUAUAAUAUUUCAAGGAUGAAACAAAUCUCUACCCAAGUUCCAUUUCU